UAGAUUAAGUUGGGUAUUGAUUGGGUAAUAAAUGCCAGGAGGCCUCUGCUACAGUAUACACUACAGAAGCUUUCUCAGCACGGUGGAAGUAAUGGAAGUGGUAAUGAAAGCACAGGGCUGAUGAUAUCUUUUGACUCGACGUUAACAGAUGGAAGAGGAGUCGCCACAUGUGGAAACGAGCCAACAAGUCACGACGGAUAACAGAAUCCUCGCUUGGUUCGCUUGUGAUUGGAUAAGUGGCAGAGAGCAUGAUCAACAGGCUCUCUCUUCCUCCGAUAAUUCCCAGCAGUGAAAUAAAAGAAUUCCAGGUGGAGCGCAUCACUCCUCGGUGAUGGAAGCUGGGGCCAUGAAAAUCCUCUGUCAUUGGCUAGUUAAUCUAGCAGGGUGAUUGUUCCCUGAUGACUGGUCGCCUUGACACUCGUCGGGAGGAGGAAAGGAGCAUUUCCAUGUUAAGUGGAUUGCUCCCCAUUUCCCGUCUUUGUGAUGAUUGCAAGUGCACCAGAACAACAAAAUUAAAACGGACAUUUUCCUUUUGCCGAGCUGAUUAAAAUUCACAAGUCUCUUUUUUGUUUUGUUUUUUUCGUGUGUGUGGUGGGGGUGGAAUUGUUUUGGAGUAUCCGCGCAAAAAAUAAAGUGGGUGAAGCAGAUUGAGCGGGGCGCAUCUGUGCAUAAUUUGAUUCUUGUCAUAUCAACAGUGUGGAGGUAUGGAAGCGGGGAACAUUUUUCAGAUGCCACAAUGCAAAAUAUAUCUGAAAUGGAAGUGAGAAUGAGAGGUUUGUUUGGGAAAACGCCGCUCUAUAUGAAAGGCACAUCAUUAUUCAUUUUGAAUAUCAAGACCGCAACGUGAUUCUAUUGAUCUCCACUGCGCAGCCAAAAUUGACUUCCAAGUUGUCAUUUCCCCAUAAAAUAAACUUAAUCAACCGUACUGUAAUAAUAUAUGCAUAUUUAAAUAUGUGUAUAUGUAUAUAUAUGUGUGUGUAUAUAUAUAUAUACAUAUAAAAAUGUAUUUUUUUAUGUAGUUUUUUUUAUUGCUAUUGUUAAAUGUCCCAGGCAUUUAUCACUAUUAGUAAUAAAAUACUCCUACCUCACUUACACACGACAAACUCAGUUUAAACCCACACACAACAAUGAAGCCGUGAGCGCCUUAUAAUUCAUACAGAGCAAGCCUGGAGUCAAGCAAUCAGGAGCCUCUCAGAGGAACGGCUGUCAAUCAACCUUGCGUCAACACUGCAAACGCAACGCAAAGUGAUCAAUGCAUCCGAAGCCGCCGUUUGUUUGUUUGUUUGUACGUAGAGCCCCCGUGGCGCCGCAUUAGGGCGAAAUUCUGCACGUAUUACAAGUGCAGCUGAUCAGAAAUCCGACAGCGUCGCGCAUCUCAUUAGAACGGCUACGUCGCUCCAUACCCUGCCGUCGAAUACUAACAAGCACGGAGCGCAUGAUUUUCAGGGACGUGAUACUCCACCAAUUAGCUUCAGCUCAUUACGACCCCGCCAUUUUACACAUGAUGAGAAUCUCCUAUGAGAGACCGAGAGAGGUAUCAUAUCAAUCUUUCCCAUCGGAAAUAAUUUGAGUUGUUAAUUGCCCUUAAAAAUCUUAAUUAGUAGCUCUUAAUUUUGCAUUCAAAUAUAUCGAGCUGUCAUACAAAAGUCCCAAAAAAGUUUAGCACAUCAGAAAUGUGUAAAUUGUACCGAAACACCGCUAAUAUAUCGCAGGAAUAGUUUGCACGCUCCCUCUAGUGGUAAAAGAAAGUAUCACUCUCUCUUAUGCAGUUCAGUUGUAAAGCGGAUCCUCACUUUUUUACAUUUAUUAAGAAUGUAAUUAAAGUUUUUACUGUCUAUUUUUAAUACUAAUAUUAAAAAAAAGACUAACAUUUAGAACAAAAAUAAUGAGAUUAUGAUUAGAAUGAUAUGAAGUAAAUUUGCUUAAUUAUUUGUUCAUUUUAUUUCACUUGAUAUUUUAAAACGGUCGCUACGGCAUUGAGUUGAAAAACUCGAUUCUUCAUUCCAGGAUAGUCAUGAACCAAACAUCCGAGUUUGAAUCCAUAUUGAAAUCUGUAAUAUAAAAAGUGAGGGGCCUCAUUAAGCAAGCGACGAGUGAAGAAUUCGCUGAAUCUUAAUUGCGCCAAGCUGACCUACAGGCGUCACCUCUGAAAAAGGUACAUCAUUUUCGCCAACUACUUUGCGCCGCCGCCAUAAAUAAUCAACGUGAAAAACAAAACAAAAUAGUCACACAUGUCGCCAAGCCAACAAACAUUCCCCCCUCAAAAACCUACAGGUUUGUCAUCACCUUGUCACGGCAAAGAAGUUACCGCUCGUUAUUUUUAAUUGGUUCUUCGUCAGUCUAUGGCAGUUGCCCGGGUCCCCGAUGUCAAAAAGGACCUUUGCCAUAGACAGGCGUACAAAUACGAUUGGUGUUGCGGUGUUAUAACCCUUUAAGCAACGGCUAUUUGAGCACAUUUAAUGGCACAGCACAUGCUCAGGACACAAAGUACACGACGAUACUCAGGCGUAGGUAUAUUCUUUAUCCUCUGCGAAGAACAAGUCAUAUUACUGAGCAAUUAUGACCAUCUUCUUCAUUUACGUUAUUUUCGUUAACAUGUGUUAUACUACCUGAUGGCCAAGGCACAGCACAACGGCUCAAAUACAACUUUGGCCUAAUUUUGGUUUUUACCGUAAUUUUCGGACUAUAAAUCGCGUUUUUUUUUUUUUCAUAGUUUGGGUGGGGGGGCGACUUAUACUCAGGAGCGACUUAUAUACAUACAUAUGUUUUUUUUUCACUUUUUUGGGCAUUUUAUGGCUGGUGCGACUUAUACUCCGGUGCGACUUAUAGUCCGAAGAUUACGGUGGUUGUUCUUUUGGGGUGACCGAUUCCACCACUGGAAGGCCAACAAUCAUCUUCUUCUAUCGCCAUGACUGUGAUUAGUUUUCCUUUAUUUGAUUCAUUACAAUAGAUGAGUUGGCACAAGGCGGCGUUAAGUAUGAUUUGGAAACAGACAGCAUGCUGCCUGUUUAUUUGUUUCACACGUGACUGGCAUCUGGGCAUAAAUGGGUGAUCGGCUCGUGUUAGUAGAUUCAUUUGCGGCUAUUUGUGACAGGCCCAGUCUGAGCGUAACAAUCUUUCAGCGAGCUGCCAAAGAUCUGACCAACAAUUUGAUUUUACUCUGUAUGAAUUAUAAUUGCAUCAUGCAGAGAACACUUGCUGGUCUGUGCGCGUUCCCCCGAUUCCUUCCAUCGAAGCGUAGCGGUGCCAGAAGCCGAGUUGUAUUUCUUUCUUUUUGUUCCGCGAGAUCCAUAGCGCAAAGCUUGUAUGUUGUUUGAAACCUUCAUCUCUGCUCCCACCAAGGGUUCUCAAAGAAAAAUAAAGGGUUUGGCGGCUCUACAGCAAUACUCGGUGGUAUGCCUCAUAUUAAUUAGUGGAGGACCAGAACUCAGGAGGGAACGUAAACAACAUGCUUCACAUACUUUAGGUUCAUUUUUAUAAGCUAAAAUAUAAAUUAGGUUCAAACAUACAAUUAUGAGGGGAAAUACAAAAAUUGUAUCCAGAAACUGCUUGUGCCAUUAAUAACCAGUUAUAUUUUCCCUUAUAUUUUCCCCGGUUUGCGGACAGGGUAGGCAGGGGAGGCGAAGCCUGACUGUAAAGAUUAUGAGAAAAAAAAAAUUAUUUCAUGAAAUUAUUUUCCAUUUAAGUAUUCUAGUCCUCUAAUAUUAUUUUUUUUCCACUGGGUUUGCAGUUUCGAAAAAAAAAAAGCGUCAUCUACUAAAAUGCUAACUCUAGUUAUUUCUUCUCAGCGUGGCUCAUACUCUUUUCGUAUAAAAGACGGCAUGCGGCGUCAUUAUAAUGUAAUUAUUUCAAGAUGGCACUUAGGGAGCUAUACUGCAUAUAUGCGUUGCCCAUGUUGACAGUGGCAUUAAUUACCCUAAUUAUGCAUCUCCGUUAGUGUGUAGGGAUGGCGACUUUACGCAAUGGGGAGGCGCUUGAGCCCGCCCUCUUUUGUCUUUGACAUCACUUCCUCAAAGAUUCAUUUGCAGAAAUGACUUGCAUCAAAUGAUUAAUUUGGCCAAAUUACAGCCCUCCUCGAACGCCGACAGAGGGACGAGGAAUAAACGGGGGCACUACGUUCAUAGCGUCCUGAAUGCUUUUUCUUUAACUUUUUAUUUCUCAUAAAUAGUCACAAGUGCUUUCGGAACAGUUCUUUUGGAUUUCCCUCAUUCCAAAAUUGCAAAACAGAAGCGGCAACA